CAGGAAGCUAGGGUCAGAGCGCAGGGUCAGCCAUGAUACAGCGCCCCUGGAGCAGAGAAGGUUUAGGGCCUUGCUCAAGGGCCCAACAGUGGCAGUGGCAAGUAUAUCAUAUUUAGUAUAUCAUGCUAAAUAGUUUCAGAAAUUAAAACAAAAUCUAUUACAAUGAAACGAUAAAACAAAGGCAACCUGAGUAAACACAAAAUACAGUUUUUAAAUGAUUGUUAUUUAUUGAAGCAAAAAAAAGUUAUCCAAUCCCAACUGGGCCUGUGUGAAAAUGUAUUUGUCCCCGUAGUUACUAAUCCCCAAAAUCUAUGAAACUGCUUUUAUAAUACAUAGAACACAGAACAUAGAACAGGUUCUAUGUUUUAUGUUGUUUAAUGCAUCUAGAUGAAAAUACCAGGGAAUAACAGUUGAAAACAUAAAACUCUUGAAUGUUAGGUUACGGUGGUCAAUAAAACUGGACAGUUGAAUGUUGAAAAAAGAACAGGCAGCGUUUGUCUAAUCUUCAACUGUCCAGUGCAUGGCAAUGAAUCUAACUUGCAAAAAGCUGAUGUGUGUGAUGCAGCAGGCGAUGGGAUUCAGAGCUAGUAAGACAAGCUACAUUUUCAGUAUUGAGGUGUGUUGCAUAACCGCAUAGAUAUACACACCAAAUAAAACAUUUUAUUUUGCAAAAGUCAGUACUGAGUAGGUUUUUUUUUUUUUUUCUUUCCCUGGUUGUUGGAUGAGAGAAUGAUAAAUGCAAAAUGCUAGUGACUGAGUGAAUAAUAAAAAAAGAAAGAGAGAUGUCUUGGAUACAUAAUAGUCUUGUCCGGGGUGCUGACGAUCUGAAAAUCCAUUACUACUGAAGUGACAGAUUUUUGAUAUACCUGGAAAAAGGACACAUUUUUUUGACAUACAAAAUAGUCAUUAAGCUUUUACUUUUAGCAUACGGAACAAUCAGAGUAGUUUAGAAUGUCCUGGGAAAAAAAAAGACGGUGUAAGAGCUAUGGCUUGCUCUUACAAUGUUAGAAGUCUAGUAAGAAAUCUCACAAAUAGGCUAUGGCUCUAGAGGUUUAAAAAAAAUCUUUCUUUUAAUGGGAGCAGUUUUUCAGCACUACGGGUUAUUUGUCAGGGGAUGUUCUCGAUUGAUCAGGUUGAUUAGCCGUGGCAGGUUACUGGCCUUCUGUGUUUAAGUGAAUUAUUUAUUUAUAAAUACAAAGAGCGACUGACCAGACCUAACCUGCUCACUUGUGAAAAAUGAAUUAUAUCCAUGCAUAAGUCACACAUAACAGAGUAAUUAGAAUCAAAGUGCUGCCAUUCCCUUUCUUUCCACCCAUAACUCCUUUAGGGUAGUAGACAAG
ensembl:lncRNA